AUUGAACGCUGGCGGCCGGCCUAACACAUGCAAGUCGCACGAGUGGCGGACGGGUGAGUAAUGUAUGGGAAACUGCCUGAUGGAGGGGGAUAACUACUGGAAACGGUAGCUAAUACCGCAUAACAUCAGAUGUGCCCAGAUGGGAUUAGCUGGUUGGUAGGGUAACGGCUCACCAAGGCGACGAUCCCUAGCUGGUCUGAGAGGAGGACUAUCUACACUGUAACUGAGACACGGUCCAGACUCCUACGGGAGGCAGCAGUGGGGAAUAUUGUACAAUGGGCGCAAGCCUGAUGCAGCCAUGCCGCUUGUAUGAAGAAGGCCUUCGGGUUGUAAAGUACUUUCAGCGGGGAGGCGUUACCCGCAGAAGAAGCACCUGCUAAGUCCGUGCCAGCAGGCGCGGUAAUUC
rnacentral:rRNA from 1 species